CCUACGGGUGGCAGCAGUGGGGGAUAUUGCACAAUGGGGGCAACCCUGAUGCAGCGACGCCGCGUGGGUGAAGAAGGUCCUCGGCGCGUAAAGCUCUUUCGGCCGGGACGAAAAUGACGGUAGCGUAAAAAGAAGCCCCGGCUAACUACGUGCCAGCAGCCGCGGUAAUACGAAGGGGGCAAGCGUUAUCCGGAUUUACUGGGUGAAAAGGGGGAGCAGACGGCGAUGCAAGCGAGGGGGGAAAGCCCGGGGACAAACCCCGGGACUGCUAUUGGGACUGCGUGGCUAGAGUGAAGGAGGGGAAGGCGGAAUACCUGGUGUAGCGGUGAAAUGCGUAGAUAUUAGGAGGAACACCGGUGGCGAAGGCGGCCUUCUGGAC
rnacentral:rRNA from 1 species